rnacentral:rRNA from 1 species
UACAGAGGUCUCAAGCGUUUGUUCGGAUUCAUUGGGCGUAAAGGGUGUGUAGGUGGCGCCGUAAGUCGGGUGUGAAAUUUCGGAGCUUAACUCCGAAACUGCAUUCGAUACUGCGGUGCUUGAGGACUGGAGAGGAGACUGGAAUUCAUGGUGUAGCAGUGAAAUGCGUAAGAGAUCAUGAGGAAGACCAGUGGCGAAGGCGGGUCUCUGGACAGUUCCUGACACUGAGACACGAAGGCCAGGGGAGCAAACGGG